rnacentral:rRNA from 1 species
UACGGAGGGGGCUAGCGUUGUUCGGAAUUACUGGGCGUAAAGCGCGCGUAGGCGGCUUUGUACGUCAGAGGUGAAAUCCCGGGGCUCAACUCCGGAACUGCCUUUGAAACUGCAUCGCUUGAAUCCGGGAGAGGUGAGUGGAAUUCCGAGUGUAGAGGUGAAAUGCGUAGAGAUGUGGAGGAACACCGAUGGCGAAGGCAGCCCCCUGGGCUAACACUGACGCUCAUGCACGAAAGCGUGGGGAGCAAACAGG